rnacentral:rRNA from 1 species
UGCAAGUCGAGCGGUAGAGAGAAGCUUGCUUCUCUUGAGAGCGGCGGACGGGUGAGUAAUGCCUAGGAAUCUGCCUGGUAGUGGGGGAUAACGUUCGGAAACGGACGCUAAUACCGCAUACGUCCUACGGGAGAAAGCAGGGGACCUUCGGGCCUUGCGCUAUCAGAUGAGCCUAGGUCGGAUUAGCUAGUUGGUGAGGUAAUGGCUCACCAAGGCGACGAUCCGUAACUGGUCUGAGAGGAUGAUCAGUCACACUGGAACUGAGACACGGUCCAGACUCCUACGGGAGGCAGCAGUGGGGAAUAUUGGACAAUGGGCGAAAGCCUGAUCCAGCCAUGCCGCGUGUGUGAAGAAGGUCUUCGGAUUGUAAAGCACUUUAAGUUGGGAGGAAGGGCAGUUGCCUAAUACGUAACUGUUUUGACGUUACCGACAGAAUAAGCACCGGCUAACUCUGUGCCAGCAGCCGCGGUAAUACAGAGGGUGCAAGCGUUAAUCGGAAUUACUGGGCGUAAAGCGCGCGUAGGUGGUUUGUUAAGUUGGAUGUGAAAUCCCCGGGCUCAACCUGGGAACUGCAUUCAAAACUGACUGACUAGAGUAUGGUAGAGGGUGGUGGAAUUUCCUGUGUAGCGGUGAAAUGCGUAGAUAUAGGAAGGAACACCAGUGGCGAAGGCGACCACCUGGACUAAUACUGACACUGAGGUGCGAAAGCGUGGGGAGCAAACAGGAUUAGAUACCCUGGUAGUCCACGCCGUAAACGAUGUCAACUAGCCGUUGGAAGCCUUGAGCUUUUAGUGGCGCAGCUAACGCAUUAA